UUUCAACUUCCUAGGUUCCAAAUGCUUUCAGUUUUCGAAUUUGGUUUGUUUCUGUAGGCUAAGAUAUUAGAACCACCUCAGUCUCAGGACCUCCUUGUUGGAAGGAGAGGGGACUUUAAGGAGGCAGAGUUGAGGGGAUUUGGAAAGCACCAAAGUGAGCAGCAAGGAACAAUAGGCCCAAGUGAAGCCACAGUGAUGGAUCUUAUUGCAAACCACAGCUUUAAAAAUUCCCCAUUAAAUGCCAAGAUUCUUCACGGAGGGAAGGAACUAAGAUGCCUAUUGAUAAAUACAGACAUUGGAUGACCUCAUCGCCUCUGUCUCCCUCUACCCGCCAGAGUGUCUCUCCGGGUCCCUGGGUAAUUGUGACACUAACAGACUUCUUUGUGGACCAGUCAUUAAUUUUAAUUUAAAAAUUCUUGGAACUGCAUCUGAACUCAAAGGAUUCGACCAAGAAUUAUUGAGGGGUAAAUGGAGAGUCAUGCAGAAGUGACCUUGGUUUCUGAUCUUCACGCCAGAGCCAGAUGUCCUGAUUAAGGAGCAAAUGAAGUUUGGGAAAGAGCCAACUGAUAGAAGAUGCUUCUGUUGGACCAGGAGACUUCAAAAAAAAAAAAAAUUAAUCCAAUUUUAUUUGGGAUGAUUUAUGGAGAGCACACAACAGCCCCAAACACCUCGGCACUUUCCAUGGCAGGUGUUCUGAAGCCCGACUUCAUGUCCCCUCUGCUCACCUUCAAGGUCACUGCAGCUGAGAUGAAGAGUUGCUAUAUGCAGACAGCGUCCCACCUCAAGCACCCACAGUCUCUGCCUUUCUUGGCUUCCUCCUGCCUGAGGGCUUUCUGCACCAAGGAUGCUUCUAAGCCUUCCCAGAACAGUGUGAAGUCUGACAGCUUUAAUUCUCAACAGUAAGCCAAAGGAGUUGGAGGAGAAAUAACCCCAGCUCCUAGCUCUGCUGGGAUAGUUCUGGAAUGCACUCUAAAUAUUCCUCAGAUCAUCCUAGUGCGAUAAGCUUAGGAAAUAACGUGCAGCUCUCCUUGCUUCUCUUCUCACCUCCCUACCCUCUCAGGUGUGUCACCUGGACUCAGGUCCUGAGUCCCUCAUCUCAGUGUCUGCUUCUGCCUGGUUCCUGUCCAGAAACACUUCCUAAGUCUAUGUUUUUCAAGGUGUCUGCCAUGAAUUCAGUGUUGGACCCAACCAGCAUUUUCAAACAAUAGGAAAUAGUAGUGUGCAUCCCCAUUAGUGAGUGUAAGGACUAUAUCAUGGACACUUUGGUUUGGCUCCACAGAUGAAUGUACACUGGGUCAUGAUAAGAAUUUAUUUCUUCCUGUGCAUCGUGGUCAACAGAGUUUCUAAGUGCUUUUGACAUUUUACUUGUUAAAAGCCAAUAUAAUUUCAAUAAGGGAAAUGAGAUCAGAGAGAGGAAGAAAACAGCAUCUGAAUUUGGAAGUGACAUGUCCCAUAGGAUGAAGACAUGGAAUGAGCCUGGCCGCCAGCUUUAGCUUUGCAGCAAAUGUGUUGCGUGGUGUGCAGCAGGUCCUGUAGCCCCCACGUUUCCUUUUCCACAUUUCUAAAUUGAGAGGCUUCUAGGAGAAUAAAGAAGAUUGUUUUUUUUUCCUCUUCUCCUCU
ensembl:lncRNA